rnacentral:rRNA from 1 species
GACCUGAGCUCAGGCAAGAUUACCCGCUGAACUUAAGCAUAUCAAUAAGCGGAGGAAAAGAAACUAACAAGGAUUCCCCUAGUAACGGCGAGCGAACCGGGAAUAGCCCAACUUGAAAAUCUCCCUCUGGAGAAUUGUAGUCUAGAGAAGCGCCCUCUGCGGCGGACGGAGCCCAAGUUUGCUGGAAAGCAACGUCUAUAUGGUGAGAACCCCGUCGGCUCCUGUCUUGCUGCCCCACGAGGUGCUUUCCACCAGUCGGGUUGUUUGGGAAUGCAACCCAAAAUUGGAGGUAAAU